rnacentral:rRNA from 1 species
GACGAACGCUGGCGGCGUGCCUAACACAUGCAAGUCGCACGAGGUCCAUGAGAGCUUGCUCUCGGACGACCUAGCGUCGAACGGGUGAGUAACACGUGAGAAACCUGCCUCGGAGUUGGGAAUAACUCGGGGAAACUCGAGCUAAUACCGCAUACCUUCAGAUGAUCGCAUGGUCGACUGCAGCAAGAAUUUCGCUCUGCGAGGGUCUAGCGGCCUAUCAGCUAGUUGGUGGGGUAACGGCCUACCAAGGCAACGACGGGUAGCUGGAUUGAGAGAUCGAUCAGCCACACUGGGACUGAGACACGGCCAAGACUCCUACGGGAGGCAGCAGUGGGGAAUCUUGCGCAAUGGGCGAAAGCCUGACGCAGCAACGCCGCGUGCGGGAUGACGGCCUUCGUGGUUGUAAACCGCUUUCAGCAGGGACGAAAUUGACGGUACCUGCAGAAGAAGCCCCGGCUAACUACGUGCCAGCAGCCGCAGUAACAC